ACGGCCCAAUUUCAUGAAUUUAUUACAGCCUAUUGCCCAUUAGUUGCGAUCGAAAGAAACUAAAACUAACAAUAAGCAAAUAAGAGUUAAAAGCGUGAGUUUGAGCAAGAAAAUUAAAGGCUAAACUACAUUCAAAAUCUACAUGCUAUCAACAAACUAAUUAACCUUUAACAUUUCAAAAUAAAGUAUCCAUAAUUAUGUCAAAAACAAUGUAUAACAGAUAUACUAACUGAAUAUGGUUUCAACCACCCGUGUAGAGAAAAAUGAUUGAUUUAACUAAUUUCUAACAUAUGUACAUGCUUAACACAAAUGUAACAUUCAUUCUUGAGCAAAAUUGAAUAUGAGAAUUCUCCAGGAGUCCAAACCAAAUUCCAAGCUUCUUUAUUACUGUAAAAUACCUACAGUACAAGGUCAAAAAGUUACCUGAUUAGCAGCGAAACAAAGAAACAGUUAUUCGAACUUGGAAUUCAACUAUUGGGAAACCCAGUAGAAGCAGCAGACUUUCGAAAGAGAAAGAACUUAGCAAAAAGCUUUAAGUAUUCCCCUAUUAUUCUGAAGGAUUUUAUACUUAAAGAUGCUACUCAACUAGCUCUCCAGUUUCAGCUUCCUCUAUGCAUUCAGAUGCUGAUUUUUCCUCUCUAAGAUGUUUUCAAAGACCCAUUGAAUAAUGUGUGUAAAAAAUAUCUUUUUUAGAGUCCAAGAUCUUUUUUAAAUGAGAAAAGAGCUCCUCUUUUUAUAGGGGAGGAAAGGCAUUGAGACAGAUUUUGUUUGACCAAAAAUUUGUCCAAAAUGAUAGAUUUUUGACCAAAAAUAUAUCCAAAACCAAAAUUUUGGUCAAUGAACAGUUUUUCUUACUAAUUGUGGACAGAAUUUUAGAGUAUUGUACUCCAAAACAGUCAGUAAAAGCAACCAAACCAAGAACCCUACACUCAAGUACCCCCUUGCUACCCUUCCCCUUUAUCUUCAAUUCAUUCAUUCAGCAGAAAUAGAUCUCAAGCCAGACUUAGAUUGGCCAAAUCUAGUAGUAAAAGGGGAGAACUUUACCAACAAACCAAAACUCAAACAAUUAAGUUAAACCAAACAAAAGCAUACCAUAUAUAUAUAUAUAUAUUAAAAACUCUUUAAUUUGAUGUUAAAUUUGACCACAAAACAUGUGCGCAGGGGCGUACACAGAACUUUCAGUAAGCGGUGUCACAAUUAAUUGGUAGCCGAUAACCCAAAGGAGUUCACGGAGAUGACGAGAUUGAGAAGUUGAGUACAGUAAUAGCAAGCUAGCACAAAUAAAUAUUGCAAAUUUAUGAAGUAAUUAUUCUGAAUUGAGCGUUUAAAAGGUGUUAAAUAAAAUUAAACAAAAGAUCAUGUAUGCAGGAAUCGAACCCUGAACCUUUACUACCUUAACCAAAGGCUUAACCACUAAACUAACACUGAAAUAUUUGUCAAGUGGUGUCACUUUAGAUAAUAUGUACAAAUUUCCUAUUCGCAUGUCAUUUACAGCAACAGUUUUAAUCAAAAUUUCUGACGAUGCGGUGUCACGUGACACCAUUUCGAUGUACGUACAUACGCCCUUGCAAUGCGUCUCAAACAAAAUGAUCCUAAUUGAGUGACGACAAUAAAAUUUAACAACUGAGGAAUCUGACGAGUGACAAACUAUCUUAGUUAAAUGUCUAACUAUAUCAACAGACCCUAUUUAACAUGAAUUAACCAUAGUGAACAAUAAUCACAUGAGAAGCAACUUUAAACCUUCAAUUUAACUAAAAUGACCAGCGAGUUUGUUGAAAAAUGCUAAAACUUCAAACACCACUAGCAGAACUUAUGAGAUAGGAAUCCGAACAACAAAAUAGUUUGAGAUCAACGAGCGACGACUAAUCAUUACUAACUCUAAACUAACUAACGACUAACUAAAGAUAAAUAAAACACAUGAUCAAACAAAGAUCAAAAAAUUUAGACCUAAACAAACUACAAUGAAACAGAAAGAAAAAGAAAGGGGACAUAAGAGAUUAGGGUGUACCUGAAACUAAAGUGUCCGAAAUAGUGGUGGUGCGACAGUGGUGGUGAUUCUGGCAGCGAUAGAUGAAGUUUUGAUGUCGGACAUGCUCUUCUUAUUGCUAGCCCGUCACUAUCAACUCCAAUCAAACUGAAGUCGAAUAACGAACUCAGAAACAAGAAGAGCUUGUUCGAGCCAAAGUAGAAGCGGCCAGCAACCCGCCGGAAUUGAGCCACCGGAGUUUCGACUUUGAACCAAGAAAGAACGGUAGACUAGGGGGAGACCUACACACUCAUGUAGGUAUUAAGUGGUGGUGAGGUCUCAAACUUGAAAAAUCUAAGGAAAAAUAGGCGGCUAGGGUUUCAAGUUUUCGAAGAUUUGUGAUGUUUGAGAAGGAUUUAAAGGAUUUGGGGUUUGGAUUCAUGAAGAGGAGGUUGAUAUGAAUAGUGGGUGAAAUUUUGGUGGUGUUUGGAGCACCACCAGCAGUGGCGCACGGUGGUGGCAGUGGAGGAAGGCGGCGGCGGCUUGAGAAAAGAGAGAGAGGGGUCUCUAGGGUUUGGGUCCUUAUAUAAAUGGCAAGUAAUCAGAUUUUAAAAGGAUUUUAUACCUCAA
rnacentral:lncRNA from 1 species